rnacentral:rRNA from 1 species
AACGCUGGCGGCGUGCUUAACACAUGCAAGUCGAACGGAAAGGCCCUGCUUUUGUGGGGUGCUCGAGUGGCGAACGGGUGAGUAACACGUGAGUAACCUGCCCUUGACUUUGGGAUAACUUCAGGAAACUGGGGCUAAUACCGGAUAGGAGCUCCUGCUGCAUGGUGGGGGUUGGAAAGUUUCGGCGGUUGGGGAUGGACUCGCGGCUUAUCAGCUUGUUGGUGGGGUAGUGGCUUACCAAGGCUUUGACGGGUAGCCGGCCUGAGAGGGUGACCGGCCACAUUGGGACUGAGAUACGGCCCAGACUCCUACGGGAGGCAGCAGUGGGGAAUAUUGCACAAUGGGCGGAAGCCUGAUGCAGCAACGCCGCGUGCGGGAUGACGGCCUUCGGGUUGUAAACCGCUUUCGCCUGUGACGAAGCGUGAGUGACGGUAAUGGGUAAAGAAGCACCGGCUAACUACGUGCCAGCAGCCGCGGUGAUACGUAGGGUGCGAGCGUUGUCCGGAUUUAUUGGGCGUAAAGGGCUCGUAGGUGGUUGAUAGCGUCGGAAGUGUAAUCUUGGGGCUUAACCCUGAGCGUGCUUUCGAUACGGGUUGACUUGAGGAAGGUAGGGGAGAAUGGAAUUCCUGGUGGAGCGGUGGAAUGCGCAGAUAUCAGGAGGAACACCAGUGGCGAAGGCGGUUCUCUGGGCCUUUCCUGACGCUGAGGAGCGAAAGCGUGGGGAGCGAACAGGCUUAGAUACCCUGGUAGUCCACGCUGUAAACGGUGGGUACUAGGUGUGGGGUCCAUUCCACGGGUUCCGUGCCGUAGCUAACGCUUUAAGUACCCCGCCUGGGGAGUACGGCCGCAAGGCUAAAACUCAAAGGAAUUGACGGGGCCCCGCACAAGCGGCGGAGCAUGCGGAUUAAUUCGAUGCAACGCGUAGAACCUUACCUGGGUUUGACAUGGAUCGGGAGUGCUCAGAGAUGGGUGUGCCUCUUUUGGGGUCGGUUCACAGGUGGUGCAUGGCUGUCGUCAGCUCGUGUCGUGAGAUGUUGGGUUAAGUCCCGCAACGAGCGCAACCCUUGUUCACUGUUGCCAGCACGUUAUGGUGGGGACUCAGUGGAGACCGCCGGGGUCAACUCGGAGGAAGGUGGGGAUGACGUCAAGUCAUCAUGCCCCUUAUGUCCAGGGCUUCACGCAUGCUACAAUGGCUGGUACAGAGAGUGGCGAGCCUGUGAGGGUGAGCGAAUCUCGGAAAGCCGGUCUCAGUUCGGAUUGGGGUCUGCAACUCGACCUCAUGAAGUCGGAGUCGCUAGUAAUCGCAGAUCAGCAACGCUGCGGUGAAUACGUUCCCGGGGCUUGUACACACCGCCCGUCAAGUCAUGAAAGUUGGUAACACCCGAAGCCGGUGGCCUAACCGUUGUGGGGGAGCCGUCGAAGGUGGGACUGGUGAUUAGGACUAAGUC